UACGGGGGGGGCAAGCGUUGCUCGGAAUUACUGGGCGUAAAGGGCGCGUAGGCGGCACUGUUAGUCAGGCGUGAAAGUCCUGGGCUCAACCUGGGAACUGCGCUUGAUACGGCAGAGCUAGAGGAUGGAAGAGGCUCGCGGAAUUCCCAGUGUAGAGGUGAAAUUCGUAGAUAUUGGGAAGAACACCGGUGGCGAAGGCGGCGAGCUGGUCCAUUACUGACGCUGAGGCGCGACAGCGUGGGGAGCAAACAGG
rnacentral:rRNA from 1 species